rnacentral:lncRNA from 1 species
CCCUGUAAAAUAAACAUUCAAACAUUAAUAAACUAAUUUAUAACUAAUACAAUAAUUAAGCUCAUAGAUUAGAUUAGGCUAACCAGUUCCUAGCUAACCCUUUGAUUUUUUCGACUAAAAUAAUAAAUAGAGAAGUAGUUUUUUUUUUUUUUGUAACACUAAUAGAGAAGUAGUUAUAUUUAAUCUUUUGUUGCUUCCAUCACCAACCGUAUCAAUUAAUAUAUUUGAGACUAAUAAGAACGCUUCAAAAAUGGAUUUGAUUAGGAUCGUAUAAACUCACCC